GUCAAGGUGGGAGUCUUAAAAGCACGGGGAGAAUACGUCUACUCAGCAGGGAGCAAUUUGGGAUGAUGCAAGCAUUCAUAGGAAAUAUGGAGAGGCUUGAACUGGACCAUGUGGUGCUGGAGAGGCCAUCGCACUGACUGGCAAGAGAAGACCUGUUUCAUGGUGGUCCACAGAGCAAUUUCCCUGGCUUCACUCAAGGCUAACUCUCCUCCAGCAAAACACCCCUCUUCUCCUCCCACAGAUGAAGCAGGAACAGAAGGACCUAUUGACCUCAUCCUGUUCUCCAGGCUGCAAGUGAGAAAUGGGGUUCUCAGACUUGAGGAAGCCUCAGUGUGGGUAGAGGCAGCUGGGGCCUGAGGCAUGAGCCCCCAGAGGAAAACACAGGAAGAAGAUGGCCAGUCUUGUUCCAGAAGGGCUCUCACCAGGACUGCCCCAGGGUCCACACCAGAUUAUGAAAUAUGCCUUGUGGUUUUGCAUAAACGUCUUUGGCUGAAGAUUGGCAAAUGUUGGAGGAAAUGGCAACCUCUUAUCAGAUAAUUUUCCGAAGCAAACAGUAACCUGGACUGAUUGUGAUUUCCAUGAGUUUCUCUUCUUGGUUUUUUUCCUUCUUGGUAUUGGUGGCUCAGAUGCAAGGCUCUGUGGUUCAGUAGGAAGAGCAGGCGGUUUGUAUUGGAAAUCCUGUGCUCUGACUGGCUGUGUGCUGUCUGUGCCUCAGUUUCUUCAUCUGUAAAAUAGGAAUAAGAAUAUUACCCACCUCAGAUAGUUAGAGGGAGUAUUAGAACUCUUUGAAUACUGCUAGGCACACAGUAAGUACUGAAGAAAUGUUAACUAAUUAUUAAUCUCACUAUUUAUUAGAAAAUGGGGGAUUAAAGUAUCUGUCUCACAGGGUUGUUGUGAGAGUCAAAUCCAUUCAUUCAUUUUUUCAACAAAUACAUACUGAGCACCACUAUGUGACAAGUAGUAUACGAGGCACAGGGCUGCUGUGUU
rnacentral:lncRNA from 10 species